rnacentral:sRNA from 1 species
UUUUAGAAGGGCUGCGUUAGGGAUAGAAACGGCAUCCUUUUGCGACAGUAGUCAUUUCUCGAUUAAAAUGAUAUUUUCCGGAGCAAAAGAUAGAGUGGAUAGCCCGACCGGAG